GGGCUCGUAGUAUAGCUUGGAUAGCAUGGGGGCCUCCGGAGCCUCAGACCCGGGUUCGAAUCCCGGCGGGCCCG
rnacentral:tRNA from 1 species